GACGAACGCUGGCGGUGUGCCUAAUACAUGCAAGUAGAACGCUGAAGGAGGAGCUUGCUUCUCUGGAUGAGUUGCGAACGGGUGAGUAACGCGUAGGUAACCUGCCUGGUAGCGGGGGAUAACUAUUGGAAACGAUAGCUAAUACUGCAUAAUAGUAGAUGUUGCAUGACAUUUGCUUAAAAGGUGCAAUUGCAUCACUACCAGAUGGACCUGCGUUGUAUUAGCUAGUUGGUGGGGUAACGGCUCACCAAGGCGACGAUACAUAGCCGACCUGAGAGGGUGAUCGGCCACACUGGGACUGAGACACGGCCCAGACUCCUACGGGAGGCAGCAGUAGGGAAUCUUCGGCAAUGGACGGAAGUCUGACCGAGCAACGCCGCGUGAGUGAAGAAGGUUUUCGGAUCGUAAAGCUCUGUUGUAAGAGAAGAACGAGUGUGAGAGUGGAAAGUUCACACUGUGACGGUAUCUUACCAGAAAGGGACGGCUAACUACGUG
rnacentral:rRNA from 1 species